rnacentral:tRNA from 1 species
AGUUGCAUGGCUCUAAAGUUAAGAGUAUUCGACCCACAAUCGUAAAGUCAAGAGUACGAUUCCCUUUGUUUUUG